AUUGAACGCUGGCGGCAUGCCUUACACAUGCAAGUCGAACGGUAACGCGGGGCAACCUGGCGACGAGUGGCGAACGGGUGAGUAAUGCAUCGGAACGUGCCCAGUAGUGGGGGAUAACUGCUCGAAAGAGCAGCUAAUACCGCAUACGACCUGAGGGUGAAAGCGGGGGAUCGCAAGACCUCGCGCUAUUGGAGCGGCCGAUGUCAGAUUAGGUAGUUGGUGGGGUAAAGGCCCACCAAGCCAACGAUCUGUAGCUGGUCUGAGAGGACGACCAGCCACACUGGGACGGAGCCACGGCCCAGACUCCGACGGGAGGCAGCAGUGGGGAAUUUUGGACAAUGGACGCAAGUCUGAUCCAGCCAUGCCGCGUGCGGGAAGAAGGCCUUCGGGUUGUAAACCGCUUUUGUCGGGGAAGAAACGCUCUGGGUUAAUACCUCGGGGUAAUGACGGUACCUGAAGAAUAAGCACCGGCUAACUACGUGCCAGCAGCCGCCGUAAGAC
rnacentral:rRNA from 1 species